rnacentral:rRNA from 1 species
UACGUAGGGGGCAAGCGUUGUCCGGAUUUAUUGGGCGUAAAGAGCGUGUAGGCGGCUAGAUAGGUCCGUUGUGAAAACUCGAGGCUCAACCUCGAGACGUCGAUGGAAACCAUCUAGCUAGAGUCCGGAAGAGGAGAAUGGAAUUCCUGGUGUAGCGGUGAAAUGCGCAGAUAUCAGGAAGAACACCCGUGGCGAAGGCGGGUCUCUGGGACGGUACUGACGCUGAGACGCGAAAGCGUGGGGAGCGAACAGG